CGGCCGUAACUAUAACGGUCCUAAGGUAGCGAAAUUCCUUGUCGGGUAAGUUCCGACCCGCACGAAAGGCGUAACGAUCUGGGCGCUGUCUCGACCAGAGACUCGGCGAAAUUGUAUUACCGGUAAAGAUGCCGGUUACCUGCAGCAAGACGGAAAGACCCCGUGAACCUUUACUGCAGCUUGACAUUGGAUUUUGGUUCAUCAUGUACAGGAUAGGUGGGAGGCUGUGAAGCUGGGGCGCAAGCCCUGGUGGAGCCAACCUUGGGAUACCACCCUUGGUGUGCUGGGAUUCUAACGGUAAGCCGUUACCCGGCUAUCGGACAGUGUCAGGUGGGCAGUUUGACUGGGGCGGUCGCCUCAAUUUAGGGGCGCCCUGGCGGUAACGUCAGGGGCAAAUCUGGCUGUAUGCUGGGAGGUCCGUUCUCUAACCUAACUUUUGCCUCCAAAUAAAGUUGGGUGAAGGGAUGUAGAAUCCAGGGCUACCUUUAGCUAACUAUAAACAGUUAGUAGGUGAAAAUGCUUCUGGUGCGGAUAAUCAGCAGGGAAGUCCUAGUGACCCCUCAACGACUAUACGCCAGACUUGCUAUAGGCUUAGUAUAGUAUCAUGCCGUUAGCAAGAUGAUAUAGUCUGAACUUCAUAGCGAUAUGAAGCCCUAAGGGGCGUCUGGCAGGGAGGAUGAGAUGCGUUCUAAUGAGAUUGAGGCUUAUAAACAUAAGCUAAAACUUAGUCGCAACCAGCGAGAUAUUCUAGUUGGGUUAUUGUUAGGCGAUGCCCAUCUAGAAACUCAGAACAGUGGCAGAACCUAUAGGUUAAAAGUCGAGUAUUCUAUCAAGAAUAAGGACUAUUGCCAGCAUAUAUAUGAGAUAUUCAAAGAUUGGGUUCUGACACCACCAAGAGAAAGGACGGUAAAAAGCGGCGAGCAUCAAUCAACCAACAUAGUUUUUAGCACCUUAAGUCAUGAAGCAUUUCGAUUUUAUGCUCAGCAGUUUUACAAAGAUGGCAAAAAGAUUGUGCCAUCAAUAGUAACAAAACUACUGACAGAGCAGGGCGUGGCCUAUUGGUUUAUGGAUGAUGGAUCAAUUAAGUCAGGCCAAUCGAAGGGAAUCAUAUUUAACACACAGGGUUUUACUAGGCCCGAUGUUAAAAAACUUAUAGGUGCUUUAGAGAACAAGUUUGGAUUAGAUGCAUGGGAACGCAAGCAAAAAGAGGGUUAUCAGAUUUAUCUUUCGGGCAAGAGCUUGGAUAAAUUUCUAGCUCUGGUAGAUAGAUGGAUUAUUGAAUCCAUGCGUUAUAAAAUCCCCAAAGCCAGGCGAACAUAAUUGCCUAAAAUGUAACGGAGGCGCUCGAAGGUUCCCUCAGGCUGGUUGGCAAUCAGUCGUAGAGUGUAAGGGCACAAGGGAGCUUGACUGCGAGACGUACAUGUCGAGCAGGUGCGAAAGCAGGACCUAGUGAUCCGGCGGUUCCGAGUGGAAGGGCCGUCGCUCAACGGAUAAAAGGUACUCCGGGGAUAACAGGCUGAUCCCGCCCAAGAGUCCACAUCGACGGCGGGGUUUGGCACCUCGAUGUCGGCUCAUCGCAUCCUGGGGCUGAAGUAGGUCCCAAGGGUUCGUCUGUUCGCCGAUUAAAGCGGUACGCGAGCUGGGUUCAGAACGUCGUGAGACAGUUCGGUCCCUAUCUGCUGCAGGCGUAGGAGAUUUGAGGGGAGUCGUCCCUAGUACGAGAGGACCGGGAUGAACAGACCUCUAGUGUACCAGUUGUUCUGCCAAGAGCACUGCUGGGUAGCUAUGUCUGGACUGGAUAACCGCUGAAAGCAUCUAAGCGGGAAGCCAACCCCAAGAUGAGAUCUCCCACUCUCACGUAGAGUUAAGACCCCAGGUAGACUACCUGGUUGAUAGGCCGCAGGUGGAAGAGCAGUAAUGCUUGUAGCCGAGCGGUACUAAUUGGUCGAGGACUUGGUCGU
rnacentral:rRNA from 1 species